CCUACGGGAGGCUGCAGUAGGGAAUCUUCCACAAUGGGCGAAAGCCUGAUGGAGCAACGCCGCGUGGGUGAAGAAGGUCUUCGGAUCGUAAAACCUUGUUGUUAGAGAAGAAAGGGCGUGAGAGUAUCUGUUCAUGUUUCGACGGUAUCUAACCAGAAAGCCACGGCUAACUACGUGCGCGCAGCCGCGGUAAUACGUAGGUGGCAUGCGUUAUCCGGAUUGAUUGGGCGUAAAGGGAACGCAGGUGGUCUGUUAAGUGUGAUGUGAAAGCCUUCGGCUUAACCGGAGUAGUGCAUUGGAUACUGGGAGACUUGAGUGCAGAAGAGGAGAGUGGAACUCGAUGUGUAGCGGUGAAAUGCGUAGAUAUAUGGAAGAACACCAGUGGCGAAAGCGGCUCUCUGGUCUGUAACUGACGCUGAGGUUCGAAAGCGUGGGUAGCAAACAGGAUUAGAUACCCGAGUAGUC
rnacentral:rRNA from 1 species